AUGUUAGCCUUCCUGUGCUUACUCGGUAGAUUCUGGUACACCGCAGACCAAACCGCGUCAUCCAAAAAAAAAAUAAAUAAAUAAAAAUGGCGACCUUCAUGGGUGAAAAGUAUAGCCAAAGAUAGACAAUUUUGGAAGCAAUUAUGAGUUUCUGUGCAUCACAAACAGCAAUUCAGCAAUAAACGAAUAGGAGAAUGACAACAUUUAUAGGCCAACACGUUCAACCAAUCGUGGAUCAAUACGGAGCCAUCACGCAGCUGCACUGACAUCAGCAAAAGUCGAGUCAGGAUGCAGCAAAUACAACAACGUGAACCGAUGGCAGCAUGCGGCCAGCCUCACGUUGGAUGAGUAACAGCCUAUGCAUGGGGUGGAGACAAAAACAACAACAACAGUCUUGUUAUGGUCCCUUCAUCCUAAGCUGAGGGCACAAACGGCAGCUGCCGUGACACCGCCUGCAGGACAGGAGGGGUUGGGGGGUGGAGGGAUUGGGCUGCCAGACACCAGGCAGCAGUAAACAAGCCGCACUCGCUCUCCACUUCCUACGUGUUCGAGUGCAAAGUUCUCCGGAGAUGUGCAGGAAUGACACGACUGAAAACGGGAUGGAAGCUGAAGGGUGGAAGGAGCAGCCAUACCUUCAGAGGAAGAGGAUGAGGGGAGCAGAUUCCAGGAGGGUCAGGCUGGAUGGGAGGCAGCAGCUACAGAGAGGGAGGCAGCUCCUCUACCCCCAUCAGCAACUCAACUGUCCACACCAGGAGGCGUGUGUGUGUGUGUGUGUCCAGCCAGAUGCAGACUGGAGAGUCCUUGCUGCUCGCUGGCAGCGCUGCAAGGUCACGAUUCUGUCUCUGCACCCAGAGAGUGACACAGCACCGAAACGGGCCUGCAUGCAGGAUUUAUGAUUCAGUCCUUUUCUCCCUGACUGGUGGUUGAACCUGCUGUAAUUAGGGAGACGAGCCGUGUGAAAUUUGAUUGCAGGAAAUUCUUUGCACGCCUCUCUUUCAGUAAGGCCGGUUCUGGUCGGGAUGGAUGAACAAAAAUCAGACGCCCUGACGUCUGAUCACACAGCGGAUCCCAAGCAGGUCUGCUAAAAGCUCGUCAGCGAAACACUUUGGUACACAGAACUUUUAUGGCCUGGUCUGGAAACUCAAUAAAAAUAUUAAAACAUUGA